rnacentral:rRNA from 1 species
CUUGACACUGAACAUUAAGCCUUGAUGUGUAGGAUAGGUGGGAGGCUUUGAAGUGUGGACGCCAGUCUGCAUGGAGCCGACCUUGAAAUACCACCCUUUAAUGUUUGAUGUUCUAACGUUGACCCGUGAUCCGGGUUGCGGACAGUGUCUGGUGGGUAGUUUGACUGGGGCGGUCUCCUCCUAAAGAGUAACGGAGGAGCACGAAGGUUGGCUAAUCCUGGUCGGACAUCAGGAGGUUAGUGCAAUG